AAGAUUUUAAGUUAUUCAAACUAUAAGCCUUCAAAGCUUAAUAUAUAAUUAUACUUAUUAUAAAUCUUA
rnacentral:tRNA from 1 species